UAACUAUCCAGAGUGAUUGAGGGACUGGCCCGAUGACAUCCGGCAACCUGCAGAAUUUGUGAAAUGACUGUAAGGUGCUAAUUCCAGCAAAAUGGACCACCAUUUUGAAAGAUAGGAA
rnacentral:ncRNA from 2 species